CACUCCUGCGGGAGGCAGCAGUAGGGAAUCUUCCACAAUGGGUGCAAACCUGAUGGAGCAAUGCCGCGUGAGUGAAGAAGGUCUUCGGAUCGUAAAGCUCUGUUGUUAGAGAAGAACACGUGCUAGGUAACUACUAGCGCCUUGACGGUAUCUAACCAGAAAGUCACGGCUAACUACGUGCCAGCAGCCGCGGUAAUACGUAGGUGACAAGCGUUGUCCGGAUUUAUUGGGCGUAAAGGGAGCGCAGGCGGUCUGUUUAGUCUAAUGUGAAAGCCCACGGCUUAACCGUGGAACGGCAUUGGAAACUGACAGACUUGAAUGUAGAAGAGGAAAAUGGAAUUCCAAGUGUAGCGGUGGAAUGCGUAGAUAUUUGGAGGAACACCAGUGGCGAAGGCGAUUUUCUGGUCUAACAUUGACGCUGAGGCUCGAAAGCGUGGGGAGCGAACAGGAUUAGAUACCCCGAGUAGUCCCAUG
rnacentral:rRNA from 1 species